rnacentral:lncRNA from 1 species
AUUGCACUUAGCAUGUGCAACAAGCCGUUAAACCCCUAGGUUACCCUAGUGGACGAGUGUUGUCUCGUGAGGGUUUUCAGGGAUGUUACCCACAAACAUCAUGAAUUAUAUGACCUGAGAUUCUAAUAAAGAUAUGAAAUAAAUCUUAAGCUAAUACACAUGUAAUUAAUUGAUAUAUAUUUUCAAGCAUGGCAACUGUCAAAGCAAGGAAAUAUAAAAGUGUAGUGUGCAUCAAAUCGCAUGACUUUCUCAGAGUACUAAUACCUCCACCACAAUAGGGCACCGCCUGAGUUUUAGGUGCACUACUCAAGUUCACAAGUGUUUUCUACAGUUUAUUAGAACUUGAUCCAUCAAAUUUUCAGAAUAUCACAUGUUGUCUAAAUUUGUCAAGAAUGGUUCGCAUGUAAAGAAAGAGCUAUCAAUCCCAACU